AUUGAACGCUGGCGGCAGGCCUAACACAUGCAAGUCGAGCGAGCGGCGGACGGGUGAGUAAUGUAUGGGGAACUGCCCGAUAGAGGGGGAUAACUACUGGAAACGGUAGCUAAUACCGCAUACCAUCAGAUGUACCCAUAUGGGAUUAGCGAGUAGGUGAGGUAACGGCUGACCUAGGCGACGAUCCCUAGCUGGUCUGAGAGGAUGACCAGCCACACUGGGACUGAGACACGGCCCAGACUCCUACGGGAGGCAGCAGUGGGGAAUAUUGCACAAUGGGCGCAAGCCUGAUGCAGCCAUGCCGCGUGUAUGAAGAAGGCCCUAGGGUUGUAAAGUACUUUCAGUCGGGAGGCGUUACCGGCAGAAGAAGCACCGGCUAACUCCGUGCCAGCAGCCGCGGUAAUUC
rnacentral:rRNA from 1 species